GAUGAACGCUGGCGGCGUGCCUAAUACAUGCAAGUCGAGCGAAUGGAUUAAGAGCUUGCUCUUAUGAAGUUAGCGGCGGACGGGUGAGUAACACGUGGGUAACCUGCCCAUAAGACUGGGAUAACUCCGGGAAACCGGGGCUAAUACCGGAUAACAUUUUGAACCGCAUGGUUCGAAAUUGAAAGGCGGCUUCGGCUGUCACUUAUGGAUGGACCCGCGUCGCAUUAGCUAGUUGGUGAGGUAACGGCUCACCAAGGCAACGAUGCGUAGCCGCCCUGAGAGGGGGAGCGGCCACACUGGGACUGAGACACGGCCCAGACUCCUACGGGAGGCAGCAGUAGGGAAUCUUCCGCAAUGGACGAAAGUCGGACGGAGCAACGCCGCGGGAGUGAUGAAGGCUUUCGGGUCGUAAAACUCUGUUGUUAGGGAAGAACAAGUGCUAGUUGAAUAAGCUGGCACCUUGACGGUACCUAACCAGAAAGCCACGGCUAACUACGUGCCAGCCGCCGCAGUAA
rnacentral:rRNA from 1 species